UGAUCAACAAUGAGAUGUGGCCAUUGUUUGAUGGAUCAUUGAUGAUACGGAUGUGCAAUGAAACAAUGAUAUACCCACUGUAUUGGACCCGAACACCUUCCUGAAAAUUGUUCUGAAGGGGUUAGCACAAGGAAACUAUUGUUAUGACUUGCGAGGUCUGCUGGAGGUGGCCGGAUCCGGAUGACUUGAGCAAAGCUGUGAAAAUUCACGGCAAGGGAUGGGGGUACAAGGCAUGGGUCUGCGGCGCCACACCUUGCUGUUGCCUGCCGGUGGCCAGCGAGCUGUGGCGGUGCUUCUCUGUUGCAUGGCGAGGGACUGGGGUGCAACGCGUGCAUCUGCAGUGCCACUCCUGGGGCAUGCCUCUCCCGCGACAUUGCCGGCAUACACAACAUACCUUACUACACGGGGAUUUCCUCUCUGAACUAAAUAUUAUGUCAGAACUGAAUAUUACGUCCGAAGACUGAAACAUCCAGAAAGCUUAUUGAGACUAUUCAUUGAUGGUGUUUCUCUACUACACGAGGAAGUUUCAUGUGCCAAUUAGGCAUGGACGACGACGGCCAUGAUCCCAUCAUCGCAAGCUCACGGGAGGGAGACACACGUCUCAUCCAGUGUAAUAGCACGCUCCAAAAAAUCCCUAACCCUCCAUGGAGCCAUUGCCAGGGUGAUGAGAUCAACACCACCCACCACCACCACCGAGCUGUAGACGGCGUGUCAUGGUGCUCCCUAGCUCUUCCCGCCUCUUAAGAGACCACAUGGCGUUCUGGCAGUUCUGGUGCAGUUUUUGGCCAAGGCUGGAAGCCAAGAACACUUCUUAAUUUUGAUCAUGGACGUGACAUUGGGGUCGGUGUUGUGUGGUGCAAUUCAGAGUUUUCUUGCCUGGCGUAUAACAAUGCAUGUUCAAUGGGGUAGCCUCUUCUCAGGCACGAGUAUCUGAGGCAGACCACAACAUCUAUUUAGAAUAGCUACAACAAAAUUGUGACAGAGAUGGUUAGUGGGAGAAGGAACUUGAGACCACAGUCAAUUCUGCUGUAGGGACUGUGUGUAGAAGAUAGUAGUAGCAAACAUAGAAGUCACUUUGGAAAAAAAGUGUGCAUAUAUUGUUGUACUAGAGAUCCAUUCCUAUAUUUAACUGAUAUGCAUGGUUGAAUUGUAGUAUGUGUGAUACGUGAGAAUAAUGUAAUAUGAAGCGAAAUGUGGUGGACAGGGCUUCACAUUGUUGUUUUUCAGCAGAAUAUGAUGUUCGUCUCUUUUU